rnacentral:pre_miRNA from 1 species
UUAACUCAAAUUUGUAUGCAGUUGGAACAGCGCCCCUAGCGGCAAACGUAGGCAAACGUUCCAACUCCAUACAAAUUUGAGUAA